rnacentral:rRNA from 1 species
AGCCGCGGUAAUUCCAGCUCCAAUAGCGUAUAUUAAAGUUGUUGCAGUUAAAAAGCUCGUAGUUGAACCUUGGGUCUGGCUGGCCGGUCCGCCUCACCGCGAGUACUGGUCCGGCUGGACCUUUCCUUCUGGGGAAUCCCAUGGCCUUCACUGGCUGUGGGUGGAGCCAGGACUUUUACUGUGAAAAAAUUAGAGUGUUCAAAGCAGGCCUUUGCUCGAAUACAUUAGCAUGGAAUAAUAGAAUAGGACGUGCGGUUCUAUUUUGUUGGUUUCUAGGACCGCCGUAAUGAUUAAUAGGGAUAGUCGGGGGCGUCAGUAUUCAGCUGUCAGAGGUGAAAUUCUUGGAUUUGCUGAAGACUAACUACUGCGAAAGCAUUCGCCAAGGAUGUUUUCAUUAAUCAGGGAACGAAAGUUAGGGGAUC